CCUACGGGUGGCAGCAGUGAGGAAUAUUGGUCAAUGGUCGGGAGACUGAACCAGCCAAGCCGCGUGAGGGAUGAAGGUACAGAGUAUCGUAAACCUCUUUUAUCAGGGAACAAAGGCGGGGACGUGUCCCCGGAUGAGUGUACCUGAAGAAAAAGCAUCGGCUAACUCCGUGCCAGCAGCCGCGGUAAUACGGAGGAUGCGAGCGUUAUCCGGAUUUAUUGGGUUUAAAGGGUGCGCAGGCGGUCUGUUAAGUCAGCGGUGAAAGCCCGGGGCUCAACCCCAGCCCGGCCGUUGAAACUGGCAGUCUCGAGUUGGAGAGAAGUAUGCGGAAUGCGCGGUGUAGCGGUGAAAUGCAUAGAUAUCGCGCAGAACUCCGAUUGCGAAGGCAGCAUGCCGGCUCCACACUGACGUUGAGGCACGAAAGCGUGGGUAUCGAACAGGAUUAGAUACCCGUGUAGUC
rnacentral:rRNA from 1 species